rnacentral:rRNA from 1 species
AUUGAACGCUGGCGGCAGGCUUAACACAUGCAAGUCGAGCGAGCGGCGGACGGGUGAUUAAUGUCUGUGAAACUGCCUGAUGGCGGGGGAUACCUACUGGAAACGGUCGCUAAUACCGCAUCCCCUCAGAUUUGCCCAGAUGGGAUUCGCUUGUAGGUGGGGUAAUGGCUCACCUAGGCGACGAUCCCUAGCUGGUCUGAGAGGAUGACCAGCCACACUGGAACUGAGACACGGGCCAGAAUCCUACGGGAGGCAGCAGUGGGGAAUAUUGCACAAUGGGAGCAAGCCUGAUGCAGCCAUGCCGCGUGUGUGAAGAAGGCCUUCGGGUUGUAAAGCACUUUCAGCGAGGAGGCGUUACUAGCAGAAGAAGCACCGGCUAACUCCGUGCCAGCAGCCGCGGUAAUUC